CAUACUCUGCUUACCAUAUAGUGAUAGACGCCAAACAUUCUGAAUUGUAAAUUCAGGUCGCGUUUAUUCAACUAUUUAUUUUGGGUAUUUGAUUGAUCUGUUGAUAUUUCACCCUUCAAUCUUGUUUAAUUAAUAGAGCCUCAUACAUGUAAGUUGGUGCUUGAUCUGUUGAUAUUGAUUUUGAUUUCAGGAUGUCAUAAUAUCGGAAGUUGUGUUUGAGCUUCGCUGCUGACCAUAGAUUUCUUUGUCAACCAGUCAACACUGCAAGCUCCAGGUUCUUACUGCACUUGGGAGUUCGGGGUACCUUGUCUCUUCCGAUCGUCUUGUCGGCUGCUUUCCCUACUGAGGCCCUCUUGUUGCUGCCUUCACUUGCUUUGUCGUCUACUGCUCUGUUAGCUCGCCGGUUCCCUAUCUUGCUGUGAAGGGAGGGGGAAUACUACGAUUCCACACUGUUUCCGAGGCAAAAUCCAGAGCAAUUUUGUGUCGAGGAAGUUUCAGAUUUAUACGACGAAUUAUGUGCUCUUUAGUAGGGUUAAAGUUUCCACAAGGCUUACCUACCAAAGCUCGCGGCGAGGAUUGCUGUGUCCAACCUGCUGCCAAGUGGCUAGCCGCCAAGUGGAAAUACUCUGUGGCGCUCGUAAAUAGAGAGCAUUCUGGUAGAAAGGUACAGGAAAGAAUAGGGAUACUUCUGUCAUUUUCUUUGGUCUCUGGAAAAUAAAUGGUGAUAUGGAAUGAUACAUUGCUAAAUUACAUGAUACAAACUCACUUCUCUUUUUUGAUUUUUGGUUUACUUCGUUGUGCUACAAUGGCUCUCCUAGGAAUGUUCUUCCAUGCUUUGAUGUGCACAAUCCAGGAAGUGCAUGCAUCCAGAAACCAAAUAGGAUUUUUUGUGUGUUAUUGUCUCAUAAAUCUUGUGCUCGUCCAAUAAGAAUAAGGUUUGGUGGUAUUGCUUUUGUCUGUCACCCGGUAGAUUUCAGACUUCAAGCUAGCUGCAGUUAUUUCAGGUUAUAUGUGCAAAUCCUUGGUGUGCCAUGAUUGGUAACUGACCAUGAAUACGUUGCAAUCUGAUAUGUCUAAUUCUUGAUUUAUGUGGUACCAUGGUCUAAAAAUUUGUCCUAAAGAUACAUGAUGUUUUUGUACAAAGUUGACAGUUAUUUUGGAACGGAGGGAGUAUUAGAUUAUUUUGUUCCUUUUUAAUUUGGUUCUAAAGAUAUACUCCCUCCGUUCCAAAUUACUCGUUGUGGUUUUAGUUCAAAUUUGAACUAAAACCACGACGAGUAAUUUGGAACGGAGGGAGUAGUUUCAGAGUGAUCAUUUUGCAUCAGCCAAGCUUGCCGUUGUUACAAAUAAUUGUUCUGUUGUCCUCAAUUCACUUUCUCGGUUUUUUAAUGCUACAAGCAUUAUUGUUCCAGUUUUUUUAGUUAUUGAUCAUGCCAUUUUUCUUUCUGCCUUUGUAGCUGAAAGAUUAGUGAGAUUGACUAAAUUCUGAACAUGUUCCUUGUGAGAGAAAUAGCAUGUUGAUUUCAUCUUGAAAUAAUCAUAGCUGAGGGACGAGGUUCGUAACUGAGGGCCAUGUACAGAGCUGGAGGAAGAAGUUGCGAGGCUUGGAACUCUCCUUGUGGAACUCUCCUUGUGAAUGGCUCAGGGACAGGAGUGAGGACAAUGCCUCUUUAGUUGUAAUUGUGAUACUCUUAAUGUGCAAGUAAACACUCCUGUGAUACUCCUUAUGCUAAAAUGUUGGUUGUUAGUAUAGAGGUGGUGACAUUAUUUGGUUCU